rnacentral:rRNA from 1 species
UGGAGGUAGAUGUCGAUUGGAGGUUGUGCCCUUGAGGCGUGGCUUCCGGAGCUAACGCGUUAAAUCGACCGCCUGGGGAGUACGGCCGCAAGGUUAAAACUCAAAUGAAUUGACGGGGGCCCGCACAAGCGGUGGAGCAUGUGGUUUAAUUCGAUGCAACGCGAAGAACCUUACCUGGUCUUGACAUCCACAGAACUUUCCAGAGAUGGUUUGGUGCCUUCGGGAACUGUGAGACAGGUGCUGCAUGGCUGUCGUCAGCUCGUGUUGUGAAAUGUUGGGUUAAGUCCCGCAACGAGCGCAACCCUUAUCCUUUGUUGCCAGCGGUUAGGCCGGGAACUCAAAGGAGACUGCCAGUGAUAAACUGGAGGAAGGUGGGGAUGACGUCAAGUCAUCAUGGCCCUUACGACCAGGGCUACACACGUGCUACAAUGGCAUAUACAAAGAGAAGCGACCUCGCGAGAGCAAGCGGACCUCAUAAAGUAUGUCGUAGUCCGGAUUGGAGUCUGCAACUCGACUCCAUGAAGUCGGAAUCGCUAGUAAUCGUAGAUCAGAAUGCUACGGUGAAUACGUUCCCGGGCCUUGUACACACCGCCCGUCACACCAUGGGAGUGGGUUGCAAAAGAAGUAGGUAGCUUAACCUUCGGGAGGGCGCUUACCACUUUGUGAUUCAUGACUGGGGUGAAGUCGUACACAGGGGGAACCCAA